UGUCCUGGGAUGGGAAUCGAACCCACAAUGUUCCGCUUACCGAGCAGAUGCCAUGUCCACUAGGCUACUUUGGAC
rnacentral:tRNA from 1 species